AGGUGAUCCUCCGUGGCUAGCUUCUUAGAGGGACUAUAGCCUUUUAGGCCACGGAAGUUUGAGGCAAUAACAGGCCUGUGAUGCCCUUAGAUGUUCUGGGCCGUACGGGCGCUACACUGAUGUAUUCAACAAGUCUAUAGCCUUGACCGACAGGCCCGGGUAAUCUUUGAAAUUUCAUCGUGAUGGGGAUAGAUCAUUGCAAUUG
rnacentral:ncRNA from 1 species